GACGAACGCUGGCGGCGUGCCUAAUACAUGCAAGUAGAACGCACAGUUUAUACCGUAGCUUGCUCCACCAUAAACUGUGAGUUGCGAACGGGUGAGUAACGCGUAGGUAACCUGCCUGGUAGCGGGGGAUAACUAUUGGAAACGAUAGCUAAUACCGCAUAAUAUUGAUUAUUGCAUGAUAAUUGAUUGAAAGAUGCUAUUGCAUCACUACCAGAUGGACCUGCGUUGUAUUAGCUAGUAGGUGAGGUAACGGCUCACCUAGGCGACGAUACAUAGCCGACCUGAGAGGGUGAUCGGCCACACUGGGACUGAGACACGGCCCAGACUCCUACGGGAGGCAGCAGUAGGGAAUCUUCGGCAAUGGACGAAAGUCUGACCGAGCAACGCCGCGUGAGUGAAGAAGGUUGUCGGAUCGUAAAGCUCUGUUGUAAGAGAAGAACGGGUGUGAGAGUGGAAAGUUCACACUGUGACGGUAUCUUACCAGAAAGGGACGGCUAACUACGUG
rnacentral:rRNA from 1 species